CAAGCCAGUCCAAGUUUGCAAACGUGGCCUUAAGAAGUGGGACGUUUAUUGAAGUUAUCUUGAUACCUCCCCUGCCUUGGCAGCCUAGGCCUUCUGAUAACACUGGGGUUCCCAUGGGAACCUCUGAAUUCUUUCUUGAAAGAAAAACACCCGCUCCAUGCUCUGCAGGAGCUAUGAUCUGGUGUUUCUGGACACAUAACAAGCACACUUGGGUUCAAAUUCAGGUUCAGGAUUCAGUGCGGACUCUCAGCCAGAGAAGGUCUUGGAAACAUUGCAAGUGCUAUAACUUAAGGGAGAAGAUCACAAGCCACUUUUUGUCCCAAAUAUCAACUCACUGGCCUCAUUGUAUACCUUACCUCACAUGCCAACACCGAAGUAUGCCAGGAAGCCUCCUGCAAGUGGGGAUACACAUGGGUAUGAAAAAGAAAUGCAGUGGCAGUUGCUGCGGAAGGCUAGCCAGUGAAAAGACAGGCUUAUAAAACAACGAAGGU
rnacentral:lncRNA from 1 species